CAAGUAUGUACAGCACAUCAGUCUCUCGCCUGACUCCAUCCAGAACGAUGAGGCCGUGGCCCCGCUCAUGAAGUACCUGGAUGAGAAGCUGGCCCUGCUGAACGCCUCGCUGGUGAAGGGGAACCUGAGCAGGUGCGGGCGGGUGGGGUGGGAUGGGCUGGCCCGUGGUCACUGAGGCCGCCCUGCAGGGUGCCGGAGGCCCUGUGGGAGCUACUCCUCCAGGCCAUUCUGCAGGUGGGGCCAGCGGGGCAGGUGGGGCUGGCCUGUGGUCACUGAUGCCGCCCUGCAGGGUGCUGGAGGCCCUGUGGGAGCUACUCCUCCAGGCCAUUCUGCAGGCGCUGGGUGCAAACCGUGACGUCUCUGCUGAUUUCUACAGCCGCUUCCACUUCACGCUGGAGGUAGAGCCCUGUGAAGGAGUCCUCCCCACCGGCCCUCGCCUCAGGGCUGCUCUGAUCCCUCCCUUUGUCCCCACUGGCCUGCCUGGUCUCCUGUGGCUGGAGAACAGCCACUCCAGGGCUGUCCACAGCGCCUCCU
rnacentral:sRNA from 1 species